GGGAAGGUAGCUCAGUGGUAGAGCGCUUGCUUUGCAUGCAUGAGGUCCUGGGUUCGAUUCCUCAGCACCA
rnacentral:tRNA from 1 species